AUGGAAGUCUUAGAGCACCAGGCAAGCAGAAGAAAUAAAGGACAUCCAAAUAAGAAAAAAAGGGUCAGCAGCAGCAAGAGGAAGGCUGUUGUCCCUGGACCAGCAGAACAUCCCUUGCAGUACAACUACACUUUCUGGUACUCCAGGAGAACCCCAGGCCGUCCCACCAGCUCACAGAGCUAUGAACAGAAUAUCAAGCAGAUCGGCACCUUUGCCUCUGUGGAGCAGUUCUGGAGGUUUCAUAGACACAUGGUACGUCCUGGGGACCUGACAGGACACAGUGACUUCCAUCUCUUCAAAGAAGGAAUUAAACCCAUGUGGGAGGAUGAUGCAAAUAAAAAUGGUGGCAAAUGGAUCAUUCAGCUGCGGAAGGGCUUGGCCUCCCAGUGCUGGGAGAAUCUCAUCCUGGCCCUGCUGGGAGAACAGUUCAUGGUUGGGGAGGAGAUCUGUGGGGCUGUGGUCUCUGUCCGCUUCCAGGAGGACAUUAUUUCCAUAUGGAAUAAGACUGCCAGUGACCAAGCAACCACAGCCCGAAUCCGGGACAUACUUCGGCGCGUGCUUACCCUACCUCCCAACACCAUUAUGGAAUACAAAACUCACACCGACAGCAUCAAAAUGCCAGGCAGGCUGGGCCCCCAAAGGCUCCUUUUUCCAAACAUCUGGAAGCCGCGGUUGAAUGUGCCAUGACCCUCUCCCUCUCUGGAUGGCACCAUCAUUGAAGCUGGCAUCAUCGGAGUCCCUUGUUCUGUUGGUGUGCCUCCUGGAAGACCCUUCUGUGCUG